rnacentral:rRNA from 1 species
UACGAGAGGCCCAAACGUUAUUCGGAAUUACUGGGCGUAAAGCGCGUGUAGGCGGCUCGGAAAGUCGGGUGUGAAAGCCCUGGGCUCAACCUAGGAAGUGCACUCGAAACUUCCGAGCUGGAGUUCUGGAGAGGAAGGCGGAAUUCUCGGUGUAGAGGUGAAAUUCGUAGAUAUCGAGAGGAACACCGGUGGCGAAGGCGGCCUUCUGGACAGCAACUGACGCUGAGACGCGAAAGCGUGGGGAGCAAACAGG